rnacentral:rRNA from 1 species
GAUGAACGCUGGCGGCGUGCCUAAUACAUGCCAGUCGAGCGAACAGACGAGGAGCUUGCUCCUCUGACGUUAGCGGCGGACGGGUGAGUAACACGUGGAUAACCUACCUAUAAGACUGGGAUAACUUCGGGAAACCGGAGCUAAUACCGGAUAAUAUAUUGAACCGCAUGGUUCAAUAGUUAAAGACGGUUUUGCUGUCACUUAUAGAUGGAUCCGCGCCGCAUUAGCUAGUUGGUAAGGUAACGGCUUACCAAGGCAACGAUGCGUAGCCGACCUGAGAGGGGGAUCGGCCACACUGGAACUGAGACACGGUCCAGACUCCUACGGGAGGCAGCAGGAGGGAAGCUUCCGCAAUGGGCGAAAGCUUGACGGAGCAACGCCGCGUGAGUGAUGAAGGUCUUCGGAUCGUAAAACUCUGUUAUUAGGGAAGAACAAAUGUGUAGUAACUAUGCACGUCUUGACGGUACCUAAUCAGAAAGCCACGGCUAACUACGUG